rnacentral:rRNA from 1 species
AUUGAACGCUGGCGGCAUGCUUUACACAUGCAAGUCGAACGGUAACAGGCCGCAAGGUGCUGACGAGUGGCGAACGGGUGAGUAAUGCAUCGGAACGUGCCCAGUCGUGGGGGAUAACGCAGCGAAAGCUGCGCUAAUGCCGCAUACGAUCUAUGGAUGAAAGCGGGGGACCGUAAGGCCUCGCGCGAUUGGAGCGGCCGAUGUCAGAUUAGGUAGUUGGUGGGGUAAAGGCUAACCAAGCCAACGAUCUGUAGCUGGUCUGAGAGGACGACCAGCCACACUGGGACUGAGACACGGCCCAGACUCCUACGGGAGGCAGCAGUGGGGAAUUUUGGACAAUGGGCGCAAGCCUGAUCCAGCAAUGCCGCGUGCAGGAAGAAGGCCUUCGGGUUGUAAACUGCUUUUGUACGGAACGAAACGGUCCUGGUUAAUACCCGGGGCUAAUGACGGUACCGUAAGAAUAAGCACCGGCUAACUACGUGCCAGCCGCCGCCGUAAAAC